GCCAGCUCCCCCUGCGGCCACCAGCACACCUGACCCAGCUGUCUGCCAUGCAAGACUCCUGUCCGGUCGCCCACAGGUAGCUAUAUUAUGUCUCAUUCUGUCAGUGUGUGUGUGUGUCUGUGUCAUGGUGUGUGUGUGUGUGUCAUGGUCUGUGUCUGUCUGUCAUGGUGUGUGUCUGUGUCAUGAUGUUUGUGUGUGUGUGU